AUGCACGCUGGCGGCGUGCCUAAUACAUGCAAGUCGAGCGCACAGAUAAGGAGCUUGCUCCUUUGACGUUAGCGGCGGACGGGUGAGUAACACGUGGAUAACCUACCUAUAAGACUGGGAUAACUUCGGGAAACCGGAGCUAAUACCGGAUAACAUAUUGAACCGCAUGGUUCAAUAGUGAAAGGCGGCUUUGCUGUCACUUAUAGAUGGAUCCGCGCCGUAUUAGCUAGUUGGUAAGGUAACGGCUUACCAAGGCAACGAUACGUAGCCGACCUGAGAGGGUGAUCGGCCACACUGGAACUGAGACACGGUCCAGACUCCUACGGGAGGCAGCAGUAGGGAAUCUUCCGCAAUGGGCGAAAGCCUGACGGAGCAACGCCGCGUGAGUGAUGAAGGUCUUCGGAUCGUAAAACUCUGUUAUCAGGGAAGAACAAAUGUGUAAGUAACUGUGCACAUCUUGACGGUACCUGAUCAGAAAGCCACGGCUAACUACGUG
rnacentral:rRNA from 1 species